rnacentral:rRNA from 1 species
GUGGGGAAUUUUGGACAAUGGGGGAAACCCUGAUCCAGCCAUUCCGCGUGAGUGAAGAAGGCCUUCGGGUUGUAAAGCUCUUUCGGCAGGGAAGAAACGGCCCUGGAUAAUACCUGGGGUUAAUGACGGUACCUGAAGAAGAAGCACCGGCUAACUACGUGCCAGCAGCCGCGGUAAUACGUAGGGUGCGAGCGUUAAUCGGAAUUACUGGGCGUAAAGCGUGCGCAGGCGGUUUUGUAAGACAGGUGUGAAAUCCCCGGGCUUAACCUGGGAACUGCGCUUGUGACUGCAAGACUCGAGUACGGCAGAGGGGGGUGGAAUUCCACGUGUAGCAGUGAAAUGCGUAGAGAUGUGGAGGAACACCGAUGGCGAAGGCAGCCCCCUGGGUCGAUACUGACGCUCAUGCACGAAAGCGUGGGGAGCAAACAGGAUUAGAUACCCGGGUAGUCC